UGACUAAAGAAGAAAAAGAGAAUAAGGAUCAGAAUACACAGGGUACCAUAUCCAAAACAAAUACUACUGAACAGAAUCUCUCAGAUAAGACCACUAGGCCUGAUAUCUACCCAACUACAUCUCUGGCAGAAGGCACCUCAGUUAGACCCAAACAGACUCUUGUUACUCUGGAAACUUCUCAUCAGCAACCACCUCUGCCUCCCCCACCAGCUAUUGGAGAGCUUCCCCAGCAGCUUCAUAUUCCAAAUACACCAGAG